rnacentral:rRNA from 1 species
UGCAGUCGCAGGUACAUGAGGAAAGCUUGCUUUCCUUGAUGACGACUGGCGCUUGGGUGAGUAACGCGUAUCCAACCUUCCCAUAACUACGGGAUAACCCGUUGAAAGACGGCCUAAUACCGUAUGACAUCGUUUGCUGACAUCAAAUAACGAUUAAAGGUUUAGCGGUUAUGGAUGGGGAUGCGUCUGAUUAGCUUGUUGGCGGGGUAACGGCCCACCAAGGCUACGAUCAGUAGGGGUUCUGAGAGGAAGGUCCCCCACAUUGGAACUGAGACACGGUCCAAACUCCUACGGGAGGCAGCAGUGAGGAAUAUUGGUCAAUGGGCGAGAGCCUGAACCAGCCAAGUAGCGUGCAGGAUGACGGCCCUAUGGGUUGUAAACUGCUUUUAUGUGGGGAUAAAGUGCGUGACGUGUCAUGCAUUGCAGGUACCACAUGAAUAAGGACCGGCUAAUUCCGUGCCAGCAGCCGCGGUAAUACGGGAGGUCCGGGCGUUAUCCGGAUUUAUUGGGUUUAAAGGGAGCGUAGGCUGUCUAUUAAGCGUGUUGUGAAAUUUACCGGCUCAACCGGUGGCUCGCAGCGCGAACUGGUCGACUUGAGUAUGCAGGAAGUAGGCGGAAUUCAUGGUGUAGCGGUGAAAUGCUUAGAUAUCAUGACGAACUCCGAUUGCGCAGGCAGCUUACUGUAGCAUAACUGACGCUGAUGCUCGAAAGUGCGGGUAUCAAACAGGAUUAGAUACCCUGGUAGUCCGCACGGUAAACGAUGGAUGCUCGCUAUUCGUCCUAUUUGGAUGAGUGGCCAAGUGAAAACAUUAAGCAUCCCACCUGGGGAGUACGCCGGCAACGGUGAAACUCAAAGGAAUUGACGGGGGCCCGCACAAGCGGAGGAACAUGUGGUUUAAUUCGAUGAUACGCGAGGAACCUUUACCGGG